rnacentral:rRNA from 1 species
CGAUGAAGGGCGUGCUAAUCUGCGAUAAGCGCCGGUAAGGUGAUAUGAACCGUUAUAACCGGCGAUACCCGAAUGGGGAAACCCAGUGUGACUCGUCACACUAUCAUUAACUGAAUCCAUAGGUUAAUGAGGCGAACCGGGGGAACUGAAACAUCUAAGUACCCCGAGGAAAAGAAAUCAACCGAGAUUCCCUCAGUAGCGGCGAGCGAACGGGGAGGAGCCCAGAGCCUGAAUCAGCAUGUGUGUUAGUGGAAGCGUCUGGAAAGGCGCGCGAUACAGGGUGACAGCCCCGUACACAAAAGCGCAUAUGCUGUGAGCUCGAUGAGUAGGGCGGGACACGUGGUAUCCUGUCUGAAUAUGGGGGGACCAUCCUCCAAGGCUAAAUACUCCUGACUGACCGAUAGUGAACCAGUACCGUGAGGGAAAGGCGAAAAGAACCCCGGUGAGGGGAGUGAAAAAGAACCUGAAACCGUGUACGUACAAGCAGUGGGAGCACCCUUUGGGGUGUGACUGCGUACCUUUUGUAUAAUGGGUCAGCGACUUAUAUUCUGUAGCAAGGUUAACCG